rnacentral:rRNA from 1 species
UACGAAGGGUGCAAGCGUUACUCGGAAUUACUGGGCGUAAAGCGUGCGUAGGUGGUUUGUUAAGUCUGACGUGAAAGCCCUGGGCUCAACCUGGGAAUGGCAUUGGAUACUGGCGAUCUAGAGUGCGGUAGAGGGCAGUGGAAUUCCCGGUGUAGCAGUGAAAUGCGUAGAGAUCGGGAGGAACAUCUGUGGCGAAGGCGACUGACUGGACAAGUAUUGACGCUGAGGUGCGAAAGCGUGGGGAGCAAACAGG